GUCAGGAUGGCCGAGUGGUCUAAGGCGUCGGACUCAAGAUCUGGGGCGUGGGUUCGAAUCCCACUCCUGACA